rnacentral:rRNA from 1 species
UACGGAGGGGGCUAGCGUUGUUCGGAAUACUGGGCGUAAAGCGCACGUAGGCGGCUUUGUAAGUUAGAGGUGAAAGCCCGGGGCUCAACUCCGGAAUUGCCUUUAAGACUGCAUCGCUAGAAUUGUGGAGAGGUAAGUGGAAUUCCGAGUGUAGAGGUGAAAUUCGUAGAUAUUCGGAAGAACACCAGUGGCGAAGGCGGCUCACUGGACCGGUUCUGACGCUGAGGCGCGAAAGCGUGGGGGAGCAAACAGG